AUCAACAUAAAACCAGCCCAGAUUCAAUGCCAACGUAUUUUCCAAUUAGGAGAGUAUUAUAAGAAUAUGUACAUAACUCCCAGCAUUUGAAUUUUCUUUGCAUGCAAAUAUACAUCAAAUUCUCAGCAAAAUCAGCACUACAUCCAAAUUCCAAGAAAAUUCAGCAUUAAAAGAAUGUCCUAGAUCAUGCAUGCCUUGCUUUCUUAUGACUCCUUCGUCAUAGUGCUCGCGACGAAACAUGAAUGAAGGCCAUCAUCUGAAUGUUAUAAAAUAGAAUGAUUAGAAACAAAAGAAAAGCACAUCUGACAACAUGUUAAGUUGUAUGCAGUCUGUACACAAAUAAAAAUAGAAGAACAAAAACGAUGCAUAGUUAUCGGUGAUACUAGUGAUUGCGAACAAUCUGUAAAUACAUUAUAUUAGUGACAAACAUCAUCAUAAAGAUAACAAUGGGGAUACAUGUAUGCCCAAAAUGAGCAAGUUAUUUUGUAUUUGAGAAACAGAAAAUAGUUCAACAUUGCAAACCUUGUUGUUCUACAACGUUUGGAAUUAGUUUGUUCAUUAGAAUGUUCAGUUUCUCCAUAUAACGUGGGUUUAUUUUCAGAUAAACUGACGCAAGUAUUUUUCUAGUAAUUGUAGUUGAAAUCAAUCGCAUGUUCCAAAAUGUUGUUAGGCUACAAUAAGACGGAGAAACCAACAUAAUGGAAUAAAUUAUGGGGACCAACUCAUAUAACACAAAUCAGUUAAAAUCUUUAAAAUGCUACAUAUAUGGGAUUCUUCUGCUCCUUUUCACCACUACAGGUGACUAGCAAUGUUGGCAGUUGGUGGGGCAAAUUAUUUAUUUUUUCAGCGGUCGUUUAAGAAUUUUUUGCAGUUUUCAAUCAAAAUAUUUAAGACUUUCUGAGCUUGCAUUUCUGUUUGCUAUGCCUGGAGCUACAAGAAACAAUGGAUGAAUGGAAAGAAUGGACCUACAAAGUAGUAUCUGGAAUGUGUGUGCACUAUGAACUGAUAGGUAGACUUGUGGUUGCUCAUAAAGUGAUUCCCCCAAUGUUCAGACACCUGACAGUAAGCAGUUAUUUAAUAUGAAGAUGCCAAUAUACAGGUUACUCCGUCAAAUUACACACCUGAGGUUCAGGAAACAUACUUGCCCAAUAAGGUGGAUUUCAACCAGUUUUUGUCAAUCUAAUAAAGCUCGCAUGGUAAUCACAAUUGUGACAUACAAUUAAAACACAAACUAGUCAUUAACUGGUACUUGGCCAAAUACAGUAGUUUCCUAAAUCAUGAACUAGUUACUAACUAUAUUUAGCUAAAUACAGUAUGUUCUUGAAAAGGCUAGUCGUGAAUAACACAGAUAGUCCAAAAUCAAUUGCGUGUAGAGGUGAACUUAUCUUCUUAUUUGAAUGUAAGAAGUUCUCUAGUUUAAGGUCCCGAUGGAUGAUUUAUGGCACAUCUAUCACAGUAUAAGAGCUUGGGUUACAUUUAUUACACUAGUUAUAAAAAGAUGGAUAAGAAUACUGGCACAAUAUAAUACUCCUCUGCAUAUAUAAUUAAAUAACGUUUGUGGAGUAAAUGUUAGCGAAAGUUUAGCUAAGAAAAAGGAAGUGAGCUUCGUGGGUGGUGCUGGAAACGGUAACAGAUUCAGCUGUCAACAUAAAUGGACAAAGAACAAGUAGCACCUAGAACUUAGAAGGAAGGUCAGAAUAUACAUACAAAUCCUUGGCGACCAGCUC
rnacentral:lncRNA from 1 species